CAUGUAUCUGUUAUGUAUAUGAGCUAGAAAAGUUUGUGCUGUAUGAGCAAUUCCAUGUAUCUGUGGGAAAACUGAAACACUGCUACUAUUGUAUAACUUGAUUUCAAGGAUGUUCGGAGCCAUAUGACUUCAAGAACUUCAGGCAUCCAAUCUUUGCCAGAAUAAAAUGAACCAAAUACCAGCACAACAACUCUGCAAUGAGGGUCCAAACAGAGUCUACUCUUCCCUCUUGAACUGUAACACCCCAAUUGGCCUCUGGUUAUUGUUGCUGAAGUCUGUUCUUGUAAGUGAAGUUUGAUUACUGGACAUGCUACUCGGCCCUUUCUGCUGUGACCUGUUGGAAGGGGCUGAGUUUCCUGCGUUCUGAUUACUGCCCCUACCAACUGGUGGUUCAUGGUUAUGUUUUCCUUCAUAAGUUGUUAUGACAGCCUUGGGAUCUGAAGAGGCCCUCUCAAUGUGCUUCCUAACAUUGCAACCAGCAAACGUGCACUUGUAGUAACUCCUACAAGAGUAGAGAGAGAGAGAGAGAUCAAGUAACUAAAACAUGAAACAAGUAAAGCAAGAACUACAUGCACUGCAUGUAAACUAGGUAUGGAGCUCAGCCAUGGCUAAAAAAUCAACCAAAUCCAACAUUCUGGUCGGAGUAAAGUCAAUAGAAAGUGCUUAAACAGGUAAUAACAAUUUCUGGAAAAAUGAUUAAGCUUCAGACAUGGUUACAUAUUUGGAUGCAGUGAUAUUGUUUCACCUUUCAGGGAAAAGGUCAUAACUCUCACAGAACUCGAGUAACUGAUAGUCAUUUCGCUUUCUUUUCUCCUCUACAUGAAUCACGACUUAUGCUCACUUCGUUCCUCUAGUUUUUGCAGCUAAGAUGGUUUUCUUUGUAUAAGAACAUACUGACAAUCACAUAUUCUAAAACUGUACUUCCAACCAUUUAGCUAUUUCUGAGUACAUCCAAAUAAGGGAUGAUAUUGAGAAGCUCAGGUUUUAAUUGUAAACCAUCAAGGAUCACUCACAAUAUUUGGAUACUCCCUCCGACCCAUAUUACUUGUCGAAAUAUUACAUGUAUCUAGAUGCUUUUUAAACAUUGACACAUCCAUAAUUGGGCAAAUUUGUGACAAGUAAUAUGGGUCGGAGGGAGUAAUAAAAUCAUAGAAAAGAUAAAGAUCAUUGCAAUUUGAGUAACAACUGGUACCUACUCUUUAUGCAAUAUCAUGAGUCAAACAAAUGAGGAAAUCUAUGAUUUAGUUUUAGUGAAAUCUAAUUGUGGCAGAGGUGUUUCCCCGAGUACAAUGUGAAUGUUGGAACAGAAUGCAGUGCUUCUAUUCAAGAGAGCAUGAUCAAGCCAAUGAUUUCAAAUCUGGCAAAGCCUGAUACUGGCCCAGCUUUUGGUUAAGCUUCCAAUAAGGUAUCAUUUCUGUCAUUUAUUAUAUUAUUUUCUUGUAUUGAUACAUCAAUAUUUAUGGCUUACUAGCUAAGUAUCUGUGCUGCUACAGAUGAAACAAAUUAAACCACCAGCAGGUAAAACACAUCAGACUAACCAAAGCCAUAAGCGAUGCCAAGCUUGGCUUCCCCGACAUGCUCAUUUGUAUUAGUACCAUGCGCAUGUAAUUUUACCUCCCGCUGUCGCAACGUAUCUAGUAGACAUGGUCAGAGGCUAAUUUAUGGAAAAAUACAAGUAACACAUCUGUCGUUUCAUAUAACUGGUUAAGUAUCCAUGCAUUGCUACUGAUAAAACAAAUUAGACUACCUACUAGGUUGCAGCAGAUAAAACACAUUACACUACCCAAGCCACUCUGAAGCUUAGUUUAUGUGACAUGCCCAUUUGUUUGCUACUAUAUAUAAGUUGCUUUUGCGGGUAGUUUUAUCUGAACUUCAGUAGCAAACAGGACCAUCGUCCCAGCCCUUUGCAAUGGAGUAGAUGAAUGGACCGCCAUCACUGAUUGCCAUCUUUAUAACAUUCAACAAAUAAAAGGCCGGUUGGAGGGGGGUUGUGAAAAUUGCUCAUGACUUAGUUUGUGUGCACUACAGUUGUUUAGUGCUGGCUUAGGAACAUAAUAUUGGUACAGUAUUGCAUAAUCUCUUGGUUAUGUUUACACUCCUGUAUUCAUUUUUGUGUCUACCACAUUACAAGUAUGAUUGUAUUCCAAUGAUCUGGCUUCAGGUAAUAACUCUGUAAGAAUGAGAAAGGAAUCAUGCCAUGGCCAAUGACGUAAAGAUUAUUGUUUUAACGAAGCAAACUUAUGG
rnacentral:lncRNA from 1 species